UGUUAAAAACGGAUGUGAACAGGCUGCACAGAAAAGGGCAGCACUGAAAUGCGUUUUUGUGAAAUUGAUUGAAUGGUUUGUUAAUGUAAAUAUAAAUGCAUAUUGCUAGAUGAUGGAUAUGUGAUAAUGAAUCGAUAUGAAAUACAUCUAUAUUAUGCAUUUUAAACAUUUGAAGGUUGACUUUAUGUCAAGCUAGGUACAUUGAAGCUUGGGAAGUCAACAGGUCAAACGGGUGGCAAGGUAACAACCACAACCUAUGGGCUAAGGAAUUUUGGAUGGAACUCACUUAAAAGAAUGAGUGAUGGAUUCAAAUAAUCGUCGUAAGUAAAGCUUACACCCUUUUCGUAAGAUAAGUAUUUAAUUAUAGGUUAUAAGUAUGACAUAGAUUGUAUUUGAAAUAUGGUUCCGACACGAAAUGAUACGGGUUGGAACAUAUCAAAUGAUGAAAAAUCCAUGUUUAAUGGUAAGAGAUGAAAUGAUAAUUUGGUCAUGAAGUGACAUAUAUAAAAUGCGUUUUCGAAUGGUUACUUUAUAAGUAAGCCUAAUCGGAUAAAAAAGGGGUAGAAACGGUGAUUUAGUCGCUUAUAAAUGAAAUGGGUCAAAUGGUAAAGUCGAUACCAUUUGACAAAUAAAGACUAAUAAUUGCUUGUCGAGAUGCUCACAGGAUGAAAUGCCUAUCAAUUAGCAUAUUAUGGAGAAAAGGUAUUUAAAACGGGUUAAUAUGUUGACCCGAGCCAGGUACGCAUAAUUAAGUUUAUAGUUAAAAGUGCGAUUUUGGUCAAAUUAAUUUGUGAAAGUCCUUCGUCGUAAAAUGAGGGACUUAAAUUGACCAAAAAGCCCUUGAUGGGUAACGACCCUUAGAGGUUGUUUAAGAACAUGUAAUAUGAUCAUGUAAGUGUUAAAUAAGCAUAAAAAUUCUAGGCAUAAUCCUUUUUGGGUCAAAUGUAUCAAAAUGAUUUCUGUCGUAAAUUGACAAUCCGAAAUGGUACAAAUUGGAAUAAGAAAUCCAUAUUAUAAUCAUCACAAUUAUAGUUGUGGUGGCGGAUAAUUUUUGUUUUAAUACGGAGUUGAAUGUAUGUAAAGAAAAGGAAAGAUUUAAACUUAAAGGUUUAAAUCCUCUAAAUGGGUCAAAAUAAAUUAGGUGAUAAAAAUGUUGGUUUAGUGUAAGAAAGUUACAAAAUAAACUAGCGAAUGAAGAUGUGUGUGCGAACCAUGUAAUGGUAGCGGAAACACUAAUGUUGACAAGCCCAGGGAUGGGUAAAAAGGGAUUAGAAACAAUCAUCGUUGAUAAACAUGUAUUGUUGAUAAACAUGUAUUAUGUAGAUAAAUGAAACGGGUCGAAUAAUGGCGUGAAGGAUUGAUAAGCCUUUUGCUUAUAAUUCAGCUUUUGAUGUGAAUUAAGAUGAUAAACGGAUCCGUAAUUAAAUUACGGACGCAUAGGAAAAAGAAUCACACAAAUCGGAUAAGUAGAUAAAAAGUUAUGACAUUUGGAAGUUGAAUUUUGGUUAAAAGCCAUAGUUGGGCAGAUAUGCAGGUCUAGAUACGGACCUGCUGGAAAGUGGUCUCUCCCGCGGCACGCGAGGGGACAUAGUGGCACCGGCGCGACACGCGACGGGUGUCGUGGCACACGAAAGGGCAAGGGAAGCCUCUCGCGUAGCGCGAGAGGCAUGAAUCCGGAAAAAAUAUUUUUAUUUUGUUGUGAACGUAGUAUGCUCCCGGAUGAAGAUCAAGUGAAGAUCAAGAGCCGAACACACGACUAAACAAAGCUUCCGCAUUGAUCUAGUUUUGCUUUAUAUAAUUGAUAUGUGUAAACACCCAUAACAUAGUUUUUGAAUGAUUCAAACAUGUGUGAACGUUUGGAUGAAAAAGUUU
rnacentral:lncRNA from 1 species